GAGGAGUGGCUGAGUGGUUAAAGGCGUUGGUUUGCUAAAUCAAAAUGCGUUAAUUUUCGCAUCAUGGGUUCGAAUCCCAUUUCUUCC
rnacentral:tRNA from 1 species